rnacentral:rRNA from 1 species
AGUGAACGCUGGCGGUAGGCCUAACACAUGCAAGUCGAACGGCAGCACAGUAAGAGCUUGCCCUUACGGGUGGCGAGUGGCGGACGGGUGAGGAAUACAUCGGAAUCUACUUUUUCGUGGGGGAUAACGUAGGGAAACUUACGCUAAUACCGCAUACGACCUACGGGUGAAAGCAGGGGAUCUUCGGACCUUGCGCGAUUGAAUGAGCCGAUGUCGGAUUAGCUAGUUGGCGGGGUAAAGGCCCACCAAGGCGACGAUCCGUAGCUGGUCUGAGAGGAUGAUCAGCCACACUGGAACUGAGACACGGUCCAGACUCCUACGGGAGGCAGCAGUGGGGAAUAUUGGACAAUGGGCGCAAGCCUGAUCCAGCCAUACCGCGUGGGUGAAGAAGGCCUUCGGGUUGUAAAGCCCUUUUGUUGGGAAAGAAAAGCAGCAGGUUAAGACCCCGCUGUUCUGACGGUACCCAAAGAAUAAGCACCGGCUAACUUCGU